rnacentral:tRNA from 1 species
GGAGAAAUACCCAAGAGGCUGAAGGGACUGGUUUCGAAAACCAGCAGAAGUGAAUAACUUGCGAGGGUUCAAAUCCCUCUUUCUCCG